CUCAAAUGAAUUACUGCGGUAACAAAUUCCACUUACUAAGUUAUCCUUCCUUGGAGCCCAGGAACAGCUGCUACGGAUAUUGUGAAUGAAGAUGGAAAAAGAAAAUAAUAAUAACAUGAAAAAGGACAACAGAAUCAAGACAAAUAAAAGGUACUACUUACUACUACUUACUGUUGUGUCCUGGGCCUGAUGAGGAAACUCAGCAUGCGCAAGGCACGAAGAAAGAAGGAUUACUAUUGGCUGGACUGCCUGGGGGUUGGAAAACUAUAAAAGACCUGUGUGCCUGCUUGUUUGUUGCUUGGAGUGGAGUUAAGGAGAAAUAAAGAAGUUUGCUUUACGAUGAGUCGUGUUUCAAUGCCUCAAAUCCCAAAACACAAAAGUGGCGACAAGGGUGGGAUCGCUGCAAGGAAAAAGACAGUAAGAAGAGGAUAAGCCUCAUCUGAAAAGCCUGAAGUCUGGGAAUUGGCGUCCAGCUCUGCACUCACCUGCCAGUACAGCAUCGCUGGAGGUCAGUUUGGCAAAUGGGCCUUUCCCCUCAACAAAGGCUUGCAGCGAGGCAUUCGAAGCAGAAGAUGUCAAACAUUGGACGGCUGUCUGAGUUCAACGUCUCUCACCCGGAGCGCUGGAACUCCUACAUGGCCCGGGUGGAAAAUUACCUAAGGGUUAACCAGGUCCAGGAAGAUGGCUUGAAAGCAGCAACCCUGCUGUGCGUCUGCGAUAAAGACACUUUCGAUGUAGCCCAGAACCUGGUAGCCUCGGCACCACUGGAGUAUGUAACCUAUACCGAUCUAAAAAACAUGCUGAAGGAUCACUUCCACCCAAAGUUGUCGAUGAUCGCGUGGAGGCAUGCUUUUGAGCAGAGGGAUUAGAAGCCAGGCGAGUCCGCUGCUGAGUUUAUUGCUGCAUUGAGACAAGCUGCCAGGCCUUGUGAAUUCAUGGACCUGGAAGAACGCUUACGAGACCGUUUUGUCUGUGGCCUGAGAAGCAGGGAGCUGCAAUAAAAAAUCUUUGCUAAAGCUGAAGUCACCUUCCAAGAUGUCUUACGUGAAGUUGCAGCUGAAGAAGCAGCAGGUGGUGCUGUGAAGGCUCUGCGGCUUGCCAGAAACGCUCCAGCCAUCGCAACCGUCUAUCAGGAGGUCGCUCAGGAAGUCCAAGACUCGGAUCCUGAAGAGGAGGUGGAUAGACUUCACCAGCCGGCGGUGAGAAGACCGUGAGA